CAAAGACCCAGUGCCUAACUCAUCUAUUAUCCUGAGACACUCAAAGAAUAGAUAGCCAAUUAAAUUACCUCACUGAAUUACGUGCUCAACACUACAGAAGAAAGAAUAUGUGAUUAAGAAAAAGGAAGAAAUCAAAAGAAGACAAAAUAUUUGUUAAAAGUCUCAUUAAGGUACAAUGAAGAACUUGCAGCAGCAUCUUAGGCACAUGGCAUCAAAUAUGCAGCAUUCACAAAAAACAUUGUUACUUGAAAGAACAUAAUUAGUAGAAAAAAAUAAAAUCAAAGUGAUCAUAGUACUACUGAAUUCUAAUGGUUAGGAUUUUGUAAGUUGGUUCAAGAACCAAAUGGUUGAAGGGAAGUCGCUAUUCUUGAACCUGGUGAUGUGGGACUUCAGGCUUCUGUACCUCCUGCUCCCUCCAUGAUAGCUGCGAGAAGAUAGUGUGGCCUGAACAUGGGAUUCUUGAUGAUGGAUGUUGCCUUCCUGUGGUGAACUACAUAUACCUGUCUGGACACGCCCCCCCCCCCCCCCCCCCGCUGACUGCUCCUGUGGCUCCUCCCACAGACCCCUGUAUAAAGGCGAUUGGAGGCACAGACCCUUCCUCAGUCUCCAGGAUGUUGUGUGAUCGUCACUUGCUGCUUGUGCUUUCUUCCAGCCAAUAAAAGCCUACCUUAACCCAUGUCUCAGAGUUAUUGAUGGUGCAUCACUUCCUGAGGCAGCAUCUCCUGUGGAUAUUUCCGAUGGUGGAGAGGGAUGUGCGUGUGAUGCACUGAACUGAGUCCACUACUCUACAGAUCCUUGCAUUCCUGUGCAUUUGAAUUGCUGUACCAGGCCAUUUCACAUUACAAUGGAAUCCUCACUGUCCGACGUACAUUCCUGUCCCUGCAGUGUCCCUUUCCACCA